rnacentral:rRNA from 1 species
GCUCAGGAUGAACGCUGGCGGCGUGCUUAACACAUGCAAGUCGAACGGUGAAGCAGAGCUUGCUCUGUGGAUCAGUGGCGAACGGGUGAGUAACACGUGAGCAACCUGCCCCGGACUCUGGGAUAAGCGCUGGAAACGGCGUCUAAUACUGGAUAUGAGAAGCGACCGCAUGGUCAGUUUCUGGAAAGAUUUUUCGGUCUGGGAUGGGCUCGCGGCCUAUCAGCUUGUUGGUGAGGUAAUGGCUCACCAAGGCGUCGACGGGUAGCCGGCCUGAGAGGGUGACCGGCCACACUGGGACUGAGACACGGCCCAGACUCCUACGGGAGGCAGCAGUGGGGAAUAUUGCACAAUGGGCGGAAGCCUGAUGCAGCAACGCCGCGUGAGGGAUGACGGCCUUCGGGUUGUAAACCUCUUUAGCAGGGAAGAAGCGAAAGUGACGGUACCUGCAGAAAAAGCGCCGGCUAACUACGUGCCAG